rnacentral:rRNA from 1 species
UACGACUACAUAUCAGGCAUAUCAAUAAGCGGAGGAAAAGAAACUAACAAGGAUUCCCUUAGUAACGGCGAGUGAAGCGGGAAGAGCUCAAAUUUGAAAUCUUCAAGGUUCUACCUUGACGAAUUGUAGUUUAAAGAAGUGUUUUCUGUUAGAUGAGUAGCAAAAGUUCCUUGGAAUGGGACAUCAUAGAGGGUGAGAAUCCCGUAUUUGGUUAUUCAUUCUAGCUUUGUGAUACACUUUCAAAGAGUCGGAUUGUUUGAGAAUGCAGGUCCAAAAUGGGUGGUAAAUUUCAUCUAAAGCUAAAUAUUGGCGAGAGACCGAUAGCGAACAAGUACCGUGAGGGAAAGAUGAAAAGAACUUUGAAAAGAGAGUUAAACAGUACGUGAAAUUGUCAAAAGGGAAGCGUUUGACACCAGUGUUGUUUUUCCGAAAAUCAAUUACGAAUGGCUUGAUUUUGUGUUGUAUUGACCUUAUCAGCUUUCUUCACUUUUUUCGAGUCUUUCUUAAUGCACUUUUCGGUUAACAAGUCAACAUCAAUUUCUUUUGUUGUAAAAGAGUAUUCGGAAGGUGGCUUUCUUUUCGGAGAAAGUGUUUAUAGCCCUAUACUUCUACAAUCGGAGAGAUUGAGGUCUGCAGCGUAGAUCCUUCGGGGUUAGAUACACUUGUGCUAAGUUGUAGCUUUUCAUAGACAACUUGUUGACUAUGUUUAGUCAUGCGGCUUACUCGCUUGUGCUAUUUUACCUACGCUUAGGAUGUUGAGUAGCGACAUACGCAC